rnacentral:rRNA from 1 species
UAACCUGCCCAAGAGACUGGGAUAACACCUGGAAACAGAUGCUAAUACCGGAUAACAACACUAGACGCAUGUCUAGAGUUUAAAAGAUGGUUCUGCUAUCACUCUUGGAUGGACCUGCGGUGCAUUAGCUAGUUGGUAAGGCAACGGCUUACCAAGGCAAUGAUGCAUAGCCGAGUUGAGAGACUGAUCGGCCACAUUGGGACUGAGACACGGUCCAAACUCCUACGGGAGGCAGCAGGC